rnacentral:rRNA from 1 species
UACCAGCACCCCGAGUGGUCGGGACGUUUAUUGGGCGUAAAGCGUCCGCAGGUGGCACUUCAAGUCUGUCGUCAAAGACUGGGGCUUAACCCUGGAAAGGCGGUGGAAACUGAAGCGCUAGAGUGCGGUAGGGGUAGAGGGAAUUCCCGGUGUAGCGGUGAAAUGCGUAGAGAUCGGGAAGAACAUCGGUGGCGAAAGCGCUCUACUGGACCGCAACUGACACUCAGGGACGAAAGCUAGGGGAGCGAAUGGG